rnacentral:rRNA from 1 species
GAUGAACGCUGGCGGCGUGCCUAAUACAUGCAAGUCGAGCGAACGGACGAGAAGCUUGCUUCUCUGAUGUUAGCGGCGGACGGGUGAGUAACACGUGGAUAACCUACCUAUAAGACUGGGAUAACUUCGGGAAACCGGAGCUAAUACCGGAUAAUAUUUUGAACCGCAUGGUUCAAAAGUGAAAGACGGUCUUGCUGUCACUUAUAGAUGGAUCAGCGCUGCAUUAGCUAGUUGGUAAGGUAACGGCUUACCAAGGCAACGAUGCAUAGCCGACCUGAGAGGGUGGACCGCCACAUUGGAACUGAGAAACGGUCCAGACUCCUACGGGAGGCAGCAGUAGGGAAUCUUCCGCAAUGGGCGAAAGCCUGACGGAGCAACGCCGCGUGAGUGAUGAAGGUCUUCGGAUCGUAAAACUCUGUUAUUAGGGAAGAACAUAUGUGUAAGUAACUGUGCACAUCUUGACGGUACCUAAUCAGAAAGCCACGGCUAACUACGUG